rnacentral:rRNA from 1 species
GAAAAUUACAAGCAUAAGCUCGAAACUCAAAGGACUUGGCGGCGCUUUAGAUCCACCUAGAGGAGCCUGUCCUAUAACCGAUAACCCCCGUUAAACCUUACCUUCUUUUGCCCUCAGCCUAUAUACCGCCGUCGUCAGCUUACCCUUUGAAGGCCUCAUAGUGAGCAAGCUCGGUCAAGCCCCAGACGUCAGGUCGAGGUGUAGCAUAUAAGAAGUGAAGAGAUGGGCUACAUUUCCUAUAUUAGGGACUACGAACAAUGUUUUGAAACAAGCAUAUUGAAGCAGGAUUUAGCAGUAAGAAAAAAAUAGAGUGUUUU